GGAGUUUGGACCGUGUCUCAGUUCCAAUGUGGCCGUUCACCCUCUCAGGCCGGCUAUUGAUCGUUGCUUUGGUAGGCCGUUACCCUGCCAACUGGCUAAUCAAACGCGGGUCCAUCCUUAAGCGAAAUUCUUUUCCUCACAGAACCAUGCGAUUCCGUAAGCAUAUGGUGUAUUAGCACCGAUUUCUCGAUGUUAUUCCCCUCUUAAGGGCAGGUUACCCACGCGUUACUCACCCGUCCGCCACUAGAAUUUCUCAAAAUCCAGCGAACCUUCAUUUGAGAGUUCCCGUUCGACUUGCAUGUGUUAGGCACGCCGCCAGCGUUCAUC
rnacentral:rRNA from 1 species